AACUGGAGUGAUGAGAAGUACACCUUAGGUGAGCGUGUAGACUGUUCUGGUCUUCAUCACAGUCACCAAUGCUAGGAUCGUCAUAGUUACACUGACCAUGU
rnacentral:snoRNA from 1 species